AAGAAGAGAACGACAGAGGGGUAAAUGAACGAAGAUGACGGUGACGACGACAGGGACGGAGGUGAUGACGGUGACAGAGACGAUGACGGUGUCGACGAUGGCGUAGACGACAAGGACUUUGAGGACAACGAUGGAUAUGUAAACCACAUCAGCUUAAAGCUCAUCUCUUUUGUAAAUUUCAAGCUCGGAGAGAAAAAGAUCCACUGUUGCAAGCUUGAAGAGACAUAGAUCCAUGGCUCAAUCCGUCGUCAUCCACGGAGGUUUAACAUCUCUCUAACGUAAUACACACGGCUAAGAAAAGCUCCAAUCCGCCAUAGACUUCUUUAUUCUCAAAAAUUUAAGGUUGUCGACACGAUCUUAUCAUACCACUAGGACCUUCUCUCACCAACCGAACCUUCUCUUGCCACAAUCCUCUGCUUUGAUUGAGCUCCUCUCAUGACGAACUGUGACGUUUUAAAAAUAUGUGUACACCAGGACGGUUUCUACCGUGCAAAUACUGCAAUUUGCAAAUGUAUCCAACUUAUAAGGCGUACAUUUGAAUCCUUGCAAAUAAAUCUAAAAUAUUAUAUGGUGGCUAUGUAUUAUUU
rnacentral:lncRNA from 1 species